GACGAGGGGUCCAAGCGUUGUUCGGAAUCAUUGGGCGUAGAGCGGGUGUAGGUGGCUCUAUAAGUCAGAAGUGAAAGCCCCGGGCUUAACCCGGGAAGUGCUUUUGAUACUGCAGAGCUUGAAUGUGGGAGAGGGUAGUGGAAUUCCAGGUGUAGUGGUGAAAUACGUAGAUAUCUGGAGGAACACCGGUGGCGAAGGCGGCUACCUGGCCCAACAUUGACACUGAGACCCGAAAGCGUGGGGAGCAAACAGG
rnacentral:rRNA from 1 species